AGGUUUCGAAAUGAAGUCUAAACAUCAGGUAUUCAUCUCAUUUUGGCGUAAAAAUGCAAUAUUGGUAAAUAUCGCAAAACAUUCCUCAAACCACAAAAGGCAGACAGUGGCGUCGCAAAGUGGAAAAUCCAGUAACUCAAAGGAUCAGAAUGUAUAGCGAGUUCCCUUCUGCGCCUCGGCGGCCGCCGAAAGACUAGAAGAGGGUGAAACUAUCACGGAAGUACCGCCAUGAAAAUAUGGACAAACCGUGCAGACAGUGACGCUGCGAAGUGGGAACUAGUCUGACAGUCGGUUGUAUAACACAAAAAGAAUUACGCAAAGGCAAAGCAAGUUUUCCUCCGCGUCUUGGUGCGAAAAGCUUGAAGAAUAGAGAGAAAAUAAGACAAAAGGCGCCGACAGUGACAAAUUAUGCCAAUGUGCCAACUACUAUAUGGACGGCGAAUGUCAAAGGCCGUCACACAUAGCCCGUGGCGCCUGUUGUACCCGUCAUCAUGCCGGUCGACCAAUCAGCACGAGCCGCAUGACACCCCAUGGGGGCUAUGCUCUCUGUCAGUCGCCUGACCGUUAGUCAAGCUGUAAUCUCAGUUUGCUCCUAGUCAACCGCUCCUAGCAGUUCUUCCUACGAACACCGCUGUCAACUGACCGGUCCGCGCUGUGUGAAAGUUCCAACAGCAGCAAGAGUUAAGAGUAUUUCAAAAGAGGAAACGCCGGGCCACUCCGUCGGGCCGCUACAACGCUGCACCGUCAAAGAAGGACAUCUGGGGUUAUUGAAGACGAGGCAGUUGGCAGGACCGGGAGUCCUAACCGCCGAUGACUAAAGGUUCCUGGAUGAGAAGAAAAGAACCGGGCGUGUUCGCACUAAAGAACCAUGUUCAAGGUCUCCACCAAACGUGAGGAGGGCGCAUCUGAAGACAUGAGGGGACUGAACAGGAGCACCAGCAAGAGACUGAACAGGAGCAAGAUACUGAAGUGGAGCACUAGCAAGAGACUGAGGAGAAACACUUAGGACUUAGGGUUGAAAGGGAUGAAGAGAGUCCCAGUGAGAAGGACAGUUUAGAUAGUGAAAGUGAAGCUGCUUCUUUAGAUAGUGGAGAUGAAGAUAGUGGAGAAUUCAAGUGUUGUAAUUGUAACCUUAAUCAUAAUGCAUUGCUAGGAAUAGUAUGAUUUUUGUUUACCAUAAGAGGCUUCUUUUUUGUGCUUGCAAAGAUGUAAGUUAGAGUUAGUUAUGAUGCAGAACAGUAGUGAUGUAAAGUAGAUGUAAUGUGUGGAAAUAGGCAUGCUGAUGUCCGUCUAUUUUAUAGCAUUAAAAACAAAUUCAUGUGUGCAACUGA